UACGUAGGGUGCAAGCGUUAAUCGGAAUGACUGGGCGUAAAGGGUGCGCAGGCGGUCUGCUAAGCCAGAGGUGAAAUCCCCGGGCUUAACCUGGGAAUGGCCUAUGUGACUGGCAGGCUAGAGGAUGGCAGAGGGAGGCGGAAUGCCACGUGUAGCAGUGAAAUGCGUAGAGAUGUGGCGGAACACCGAUGGCGAAGGCAGCCUCCUGGGCCAAUCCUGACGCUCAGGCACGAAAGCGUGGGGAGCAAACAGG
rnacentral:rRNA from 1 species